rnacentral:tRNA from 1 species
UCCUGGACAGCCACGCUCAACGUCUCAUCAUUUUGUUGGUAGAUACAUAAGAAAAUAUAGACUUGCAGUAACG